GGCGCUUUGGCGGAGUGGUUAUCGCGUGAGACUAGAAAUCUCAUUCCUUCGGGAGCGUGUGUUCAAAUCACACAGGCGUCG
rnacentral:tRNA from 1 species